rnacentral:rRNA from 1 species
AGUGAACGCUGGCGGUAGGCCUAACACAUGCAAGUCGAACGGCAGCACAGUAAGAGCUUGCUCUUACGGGUGGCGAGUGGCGGACGGGUGAGGAAUACAUCGGAAUCUACUUUUUCGUGGGGGAUAACGUAGGGAAACUUACGCUAAUACCGCAUACGACCUACGGGUGAAAGCAGGGGAUCUUCGGACCUUGCGCGAUUGAAUGAGCCGAUGUCGGAUUAGCUAGUUGGCGGGGUAAAGGCCCACCAAGGCGACGAUCCGUAGCUGGUCUGAGAGGAUGAUCAGCCGCACUGGAACUAAGACACGGUCCAGACUCCUACGGGAGGCAGCAGUGGGGAAUAUUGGACAAAAGGCGGAAGCCUGAUCCAGCCAUACCGCGUGGGUGAAGAAGGCCUUCGGGUUGUAAAGCCCUUUUGUUGGGAAAGAAAAGCAGCAGGUUAAUACCCCGCUGUUCUGACGGUACCCAAAGAAUAAGCACCGGCUAACUUCGUG